rnacentral:lncRNA from 1 species
UACAAAGAAGUGCAUUCCCCAUCAAGAGCCCUGCUUAGGAAUGUGAUCAUGUGAGGGUAAUUCUAAGUACUUAUGAGAAAAUUCCAAGGAAACGGGACAAGAGUUUUAAGACCUCAGUUUUUUCAAAACACAGAACUGUGAGCCAGGCAUGGUGCAAGCCUUUAAUCCCAGCACUUGGGAAGCAGAGCAGUGACAAGUGGUAUCUGAAGUGGUAUCUGAAGAGGAAUCUGGUCAAAUACUUGAUAACAGCGUGGGGACCCUCACAGAAGGUUCACCAGUGGCAAAUUUGGUUUGCAGAUGAGAGCCAUGAAAAAGUUUGGCAACUAG